rnacentral:rRNA from 1 species
UGGGGAAUAUUGCGCAAUGGGGGGAACCCUGACGCAGCCAUGCCGCGUGAAUGAAGAAGGCCUUCGGGUUGUAAAGUUCUUUCGGUAUUGAGGAAGGUUGAUGUGUUAAUAGCACAUCAAAUUGACGUUAAAUACAGAAGAAGCACCGGCUAACUCCGUGCCAGCAGCCGCGGUAAUACGGAGGGUGCGAGCGUUAAUCGGAAUAACUGGGCGUAAAGGGCACGCAGGCGGUUAUUUAAGUGAGGUGUGAAAGCCCUGGGCUUAACCUAGGAAUUGCAUUUCAGACUGGGUAACUAGAGUACUUUAGGGAGGGGUAGAAUUCCACGUGUAGCGGUGAAAUGCGUAGAGAUGUGGAGGAAUACCGAAGGCGAAGGCAGCCCCUUGGGAAUGUACUGACGCUCAUGUGCGAAAGCGUGGGGAGCAAACAGGAUUAGAUACCCCGGUAGUCCACGCUGUAAACGCUGUCGAUUUGGGGAUUGGGCUUAGAGCUUGGUGCCCGUAGCUAACGUGAUAAAUCGACCGCCUGGGGAGUACGGCCGCAAGGUUA